GGGAGCAAGAGGGCGGUCAACGGUUCCCCCGCAAGGGGUCCGAACCGAGGAAAGUCCCCUCUCCACAUGGGAAAGGGAUGGACCACAAGGUCCGGCUGCGAGAGUGGCCAAGGAGGCGCAGAGACGACACCGCCCGCGGUGUGCGAUGAGGGACAGCCUCUUCGGAGGGGAAGGUCCCGAGGUCGCCGUGGGAACGGGUGAAACGUGCCAUCCUCCCGGAGCAAGUCAGGGCCGGAGCCCGGGUGCCCAUGCCCGCCGGCCGCCAGCACGCUCAGUCGAAUACCGCCACCCCGCGUCUUGAUGCGGGCCAACAGAAAGGGGCUUACUCCUUGCACCC
rnacentral:RNase_P_RNA from 1 species